AACACAGAGGAGCACUGUAACUGCUCCUCUGUUAUCACUUAGGAGCAAACACUGUAUUUCUUACCACAGCUUUCAAGGCUGCUCAGGUCAAAGUUCUGCUUUUAAGUCACUGCCCUCGCUCCCUUUGCCUCGUACCCUUAGCCCAUGAGCCUCUGACUGGCUUCUGGUAGACUGUAGAGUGCUGUCCCAUUAGGUAGGCCUCAGCAAAAAGAUCACCUACUCAGGGAGGCUGGUUGAGCCAACUGAUUUUUUUGCCUCUCAACUCCAAAUCUACCCUUCUUCACCACACUUACAACAAAGGAGCUGCACCCUAUAAACAUUUCUCCUCUGCCAGCAGCUGUCUUCAACACUGGAAAAUCAGUUCAUGAGAGCCACAACCUAUCUACUCGCUCACUAUGGUACAUCAGCACCUAUGAUGAUGGCUGGAACGCAGUACACUCAGAAGAGCAAUCAAGAACUUGAAAGCAACAUUUCCUGGAGAUGAGAUGAAAGCCAGCUCCAACAAAGAAGCCGACCUACAAAGCAACAGAUGGUCUGAGUCCACAAACACAGGUCAGCACUACACCUCUGCUGUUCCCAAGGUCACUGUUUCUGGUGAGGACAGAAAGGCUCAUUUGACAAACUAUCCAUUACCAAGACAAGCCAGGGGCUGGGAAAUGAGAUCCUCCCCCAACCCAGGCAAGAUGAACUGCAGGGAACCAUAGGCACUUCCACUGGCCUCUGAACCAGGGCAAACAGCAGAAGCUUGUUCCCAAGGGCAGAGGCAGGCUGAAAUACAAGAGCCUGGCUGGAAUUGGAAGAAGAGCUGACAAAGUUUAAGGAGAAAACAAACAAACAAAAAAAACACCACAAAAAGCAAAGCAAAUGGUAUUGGUAAACAAACGAAUGAAAACCACACAAAGAAAACCAUAAAAAUAGCUGCCUUUGUGGAGUUUAUAUUCUAAUGAAGAAGAAAGCAAACCAAAUGAGUAAGUAAAAUACAUAGUAUGUUAGAAAUAAGUGCUAGUGCCGGGCGCGGUGCCUCACGCCUGUAAUCCCAGCACUUUGGGAGGCCGA